AGUAGGAGUUGGGUAAAAUAAGGCUGAGACCUAAUGAACUGCAUUCCCAGAUGGUAAAGGCAUUCUAAGUUGCAGGAUGAGGUAGAAGGUCAGCACAAGAUAUAGAUCAUAAAGACCUUGUUGAUAAAAGAGGCUACAGCUGUACCACAGAAGUGGGGACACACCAGAAUGUAAGCAUACAAAACCAAACAACACUACAGGCAUGGAAAAAAAUCACAAUGCUGAAUUUGCACAAGAAAAGAUGAAUCACUACAAAUGCUGCCUAAGAAGAGAAGAAACUUCAAAAUAUUGGCAUCUGAAAAACACAGCUUAACCAAGGAGGGAAAACUACAUACUAUAUAGAUGUACUGUCCUUUAAACUACAGAUACCUUAAGAGGAUUACAUUAUCUGUUACUGAAAAGAUAAAGCUGAUUCCUAAAACAAGAGUAUAAAAUGGCACUCUUCCUAACUCUGAGUUCAGUUAUAUCAUGUUAUCUUGAAAUCAGCCACAGUGAGAGCACUUUAAACUAUGAAAAUAAGCCAUUACUACGCAUCAGAACUCUCACCCUCAGCUUCCACGUGGCUUAGCUGACCAGACUACCACUGUUUGUACAGUUCCACGUUUGACGAAAGCAUGGACAUCAUCUGAUAACCAUGAUCCCGUGGUCUGGGACUUAGCACAGACGUCCUUAUUUGGUUCCCGCUGGCAGCAUGAUCUAGGUACAACAUUGCAGCUUGGAAAGACAAGAGAAAGCCAAAUUUCCCACUUAUGAGAAUUCCAAAGUAUAACUCGAAGAAUACCCUCCUCCUAUGUUAAUUCAGAGGAACAAGAAGACAAAGGUGAAGAAGAAUACAGAUGAGGAAGAAGUGAUAACAAAAAGAAGAAAUGGGAGAGAAAAAUAAAGAGAAUGAAAAAAUGGCUUGUUCUGUUGUUUCCACAGUGGUCUAAAUGUGUGGCCAUUAUUCAUUCUUUGUUUCA